rnacentral:rRNA from 1 species
GAGAAAGCAGGAGCAAUCUUGUGAGUAAAGUGGCGUACGGGUGAGUAACACGUGGAUCAUCUACCUUUUAGUUGGGGAAUACCCCUGGGAAACCGGGGGACAUAUACCGCCAUAAGCUCGUGAGAGGAAAGCAGCAAUGCGCUGAAAGAGGAGUCCGCGGCUGAUUAGCUAGUUGGCGGGGUAACGGCCCACCAAGGCGAAGAUCGGUAGCCGGCCUGAGAGGGCACACGGCCACACUGGCACUGAAACACGGGCCAGACUCCUACGGGAGGCAGCAGUGGGGAAUCUUGCACAAUGGAGGAAACUCUGAUGCAGCGACGCCGCGUGAGCGAUGAAGCCCUUCGGGGUGUAAAGCUCUUUCGACGGGAACGAUAAUGACGGUACCCGAAGAANAAGCUGCGGCUAACUACUUGCCAGCAGCCGCGGUAANNACCUAGCCAGCGAGCGUUGUUCGGAAUUACUGGGCGUAAAGAGUGCGUAGGCGGUGCUCUAAGUCUGUUGUGAAAUCUCCCGGCUUAACUGG